UGUGUUUUUUCUGAAGAUAAAUGGAAGUGCAAAUGCAGCCCGCCAGUGAUUUGCUCUUGAGGUUCAUUUUACUUAUGUUUGCAGGAAAAAAGGGUGGUGUGGUUCGGUUGGAUGCCCCGUUACUAAAAAAUCUUGUUGAAAACUGCAGUUUUCUGUAAAGAUAUAUGUUUGAGUGAAGAGGUUGUCAAGAAGACAAAAUCAGUUGGGAAGCUCAAACAAGAAGUUGAGAAUUGCCUAUAAUAGAGUGAAAGAUUUAACAACGAGAAGGCUGAGUUUGAGCAAGCUUCCUUCACAAAAGGGGACGGAGGUGCAGCGAGAUCCUGGAGAGGCUGCGCCGAUGCAUCUUCUAAAGGGUGACUCGAAACCAGCAGAGGGACAUGGAUCAUGCGAAAACACUGAUUCAGUGAAAAUCUGGAAACUCAACUCGUGGGCCAUCGGAUCAAUAAGGAGCGCACAGAUGAGAGGGUGGGCUUGCUAAUCACCUGAUUGUACUUUUACACGGGGCUGAUUGUAUUCAUGGCAAAUU